rnacentral:rRNA from 1 species
AUUGAACGCUGGCGGCAUGCCUUACACAUGCGAGUCGAACGGUAACGGGCCUUCGGGUGCCGACGAGUGGCGAACGGGUGAGUAAUGCAUCGGAACGUACCUUUCAGUGGGGGAUAACGUAGCGAAAGUUACGCUAAUACCGCAUAUUCUGUGAGCAGGAAAGCAGGGGAUCGCAAGACCUUGCGCUGAUUGAGCGGCCGAUGUCAGAUUAGCGGGUUGGUGGGGUAAAGGCUCACCAAGGCGACGAUCUGUAGCGGGUCUGAGAGGAUGAUCCGCAACACUGGGACUGAGACACGGCCCAGACUCCUACGGGAGGCAGCAGUGGGGAAUUUUGGACAAUGGGGGCAACCCUGAUCCAGCCAUGCCGCGUGAGUGAAGAAGGCCUUCGGGUUGUAAAGCUCUUUCGGCCGGGAAGAAAUCGCACAGGCUAAUACCUUGUGUGGAUGACGGUACCGGAAUAAGAAGCACCGGCUAACUACGUGCCAGCCGCCGCCGUAACAC